CACUGUUUGCUAGGAUCUCUGAUAAUUUUUCACAUUUCCUGUUGUGUCGGUUUGAUAGUGUGUCCUUAGGUCCAGAUGACUGCUUGAAUCAUGUUCACACUGGAAUAUGGGGUAUUUUGUUUAGUUUCACCAGGGGAGAGGCCAGCACUGUGGUUUAUAGAGGUCCUACCAGUGGAGACAGCUCAGUGAAAUCAAUCUUCAUGCUUAAGGUUCUCAGGCAUGGAGGCAGAGGAUUUUCUGCUAGUCUUAGCAAAACAAAUGCUGUCUUUUCCCAGAUAAAGUAAUUACUAGAGAAUAUACCUCAAUGCACA
rnacentral:lncRNA from 12 species